rnacentral:rRNA from 1 species
GAUGAACGCUGGCGGCGUGCCUAAUACAUGCAAGUCGAGCGAAUGGAUUAAGAGCUUGCUCUUAUGAAGUUAGCGGCGGACGGGUGAGUAACACGUGGGUAACCUGCCCAUAAGACUGGGAUAACUCCGGGAAACCGGGGCUAAUACCGGAUAACAUUUUGAACCGCAUGGUUCGAAAUUGAAAGGCGGCUUCGGCUGUCACUUAUGGAUGGACCCGCGUCGCAUUAGCUAGUUGGUGAGGUAACGGCUCACCAAGGCAACGAUGCGUAGCCGACCUGGGAGGGUGAUCGGCCACACUGGGACUGAGACACGGCCCAGACUCCUACGGGAGGCAGCAGUAGGGAAUCUUCCGCAAUGGACGAAAGUCUGACGGAGCAACGCCGCGUGAGCGAUGAAGGCUUUCGGGUCGCAAAACUCUGUUGUUAGGGAAGAACAAGUGCUAGUUGAAUAAGCUGGCACCUUGACGGUACCUAACCAGAAAGCCACGGCUAACUACGUGCCAGCCGCCGCAGUAA